rnacentral:rRNA from 1 species
UACGAAGGGGGCUAGCGUUGCUCGGAAUCACUGGGCGUAAAGGGUGCGUAGGCGGGUCUUUAAGUCAGGGGUGAAAUCCUGGAGCUCAACUCCAGAACUGCCUUUGAUACUGAAGAUCUUGAGUUCGGGAGAGGUGAGUGGAACUGCGAGUAUAGAGGUGAAAUUCGUAGAUAUUCGCAAGAACACCAGUGGCGAAGGCGGCUCACUGGUCCGGUUCUGACGCUGAGGCGCGAAAGCGUGGGGAGCAAACAGG